rnacentral:rRNA from 1 species
UACAGAGGUGGCAAGCGUUGUUCGGAAUUACUGGGCGUAAAGGGCGCGUAGGCGGUCUUGUAAGUCUUGUGUGAAAUCCCUCGGCUCAACUGAGGAACUGCACGGGAUACUGCGAGGCUUGAGUUCGGGAGAGGGAAGCGGAAUUCCGGGUGUAGCGGUGAAAUGCGUAGAUAUCCGGAGGAACACCGGUGGCGAAGGCGGCUUCCUGGACCGAUUACUGACGCUGAGGCGCGAAAGCUAGGGGAGCAAACGGG